rnacentral:lncRNA from 1 species
AACGGGGUUCAUGAUUUGGCAAACAAGAGUAAUAUGAAGUUGUCAGGGUUCAAAUGCGGUGAUCCGGGAUCAUCCACGCGAAAGAAAAUAAGUUUCGGGGUUCAAGAAAAACAACAAAAAAAUCAAUCAGGGAAGUACCGGUGUUCAAGAAAAGAAAAAAAAUCAGAAAAUUUUGGGGUUCACGAAAAAGCAAGAAAAG